rnacentral:rRNA from 1 species
UUUAAACUAGGAAUAGAUACCCUAUUAUUUUUAUUAAAUUAAUUUAAUUGGUUAUUAAAUGUAUGAGCAUUAAAAAUAAAAAAUUUGGCGGUAUUUAAUAUUUAGAGGAACUUGUUUGUUAAAUUGAUAAUCCACGAAUGGAAAUACUUAAUUUAAUAAUUUUAUGUAUUGUUGUUGAAAGAUUGUAUUAGAAGAUAAAAAUUAAAAAAUUUAAUUGAAUUAUAAUUCAAAUCAAAAUGUAGAAUAAUUAAGAAUUUAAAUGAGUUACAAUUAAUUAAAUAAUUGAAUUUUAUAAUUUAAUUUAUAAAUGAAAAUGGAUUUAAAAGUAAAAUUAUAAAAAUUAUAAUUGAAAAUAAAUAUUUUU